AACACAUGCAAGUCGUGCGAGAAAGUAUCUUCGGAUAUGAGUAGAGCGGCGGACGGGUGAGUAACGCGUAGGAAUCUACCUAGUAGAAGGGGAUAGCCCGGGGAAACCCGGAUUAAUACCGUAUACCUCCUUCGGGAGAAAGAAGGCCUCUCUUUGAAGCUUUCGCUACUAGAUGAGCCUGCGUAAGAUUAGCUUGUUGGUGAGGUAAAGGCUCACCAAGGCUACGAUCUUUAGCUGGUCUGAGAGGACGAUCAGCCACAUUGGGACUGAGACACGGCCCAGACUCCUACGGGAGGCAGCAGUGGGGAAUAUUGGACAAUGGGCGCAAGCCUGAUCCAGCCAUACCGCGUGUGUGAAGAAGGCCUUCGGGUUGUAAAGCACUUUAAGCAGGGAGAAAAAGUUAUAAGCUAAUAUCUUAUGACCUUGAUGUUACCUGCAGAAUAAGCACCGGCUAAUUCCGUGCCAGCAGCCGCGGUAAUACGGAAGGUGCAAGCGUUAAUCGGAAUUACUGGGCGUAAAGCGCGCGUAGGUGGUUUGUUAAGUUGGAUGUGAAAGCCCUGGGCUCAACCUAGGAACUGCAUCCAAAACUAACUCACUAGAGUACGAUAGAGGGAGGUAGAAUUCAUAGUGUAGCGGUGGAAUGCGUAGAUA
rnacentral:rRNA from 1 species